rnacentral:rRNA from 1 species
GACGAACGCUGGCGGCGUGCUUAGCACAUGCAAGUCGAACGGAAAGGCCCUGCUUUUGUGGGGUGCUCGAGUGGCGAACGGGUGAGUAACACGUGAGUAACCUGCCCUUGACUUUGGGAUAACUUCAGGAAACUGGGGCUAAUACCGGAUAGGAGCUCCUGCUGCAUGGUGGGGGUUGGAAAGUUUCGGCGGUUGGGGAUGGACUCGCGGCUUAUCAGCUUGUUGGUGGGGUAGUGGCUUACCAAGGCUUUGACGGGUAGCCGGCCUGAGAGGGUGACCGGCCACAUUGGGACUGAGAUACGGCCCAGACACCUACGGGAGGCAGCAGUGGGGAAUAUUGCACAAUGGGCGGAAGCCUGAUGCAGCAACGCCGCGUGCGGGAUGACGGCCUUCGGGUUGUAAACCGCUUUCGCCUGUGACGAAGCGUGAGUGACGGUAAUGGGUAAAGAAGCACCGGCUAACUACGUG